GACGAACGCUGGCGGCGUGCUUAACACAUGCAAGUCGAACGGAAAGGCCCUGCUUUUGUGGGGUGCUCGAGUGGCGAACGGGGGAGUAACACGUGAGUAACCUGCCCUUGACUUUGGGAUAACUUCAGGAAACUGGGGCUAAUACCGUAUAGGAGCUCCUGCUGCAUGGUGGGGGGUGGAAAGUUUCGGCGUUUGGGGAUGGACUCGCGGCUGACCAGCUUGUUGGUGGGGUAGUGGCUUACCAAGGCUUUGACGGGUAGCCGGCCUGAGAGGGUGACCGGCCACAUUGGGACUGAGGUACGGCCCAGACUCCUACGGGGGGCAGCAGUGGCGAAUAUUGCACAAUGGGCGCACGCCUGUUGCAGCAGCGCCGCGUGCGGGAUGCCGGCCUUCGGGUUGUAAACCGCUUUCGCCUGUGACGAAGCGUGAGUGACGGUAAUGGGUAAAGAAGCACCGGCUAACUACGUG
rnacentral:rRNA from 1 species